AAGACAUUAGUAAAAUGUAAAUUACACCACCUUGUCGAGGUGGAAUUACAGGUUAAACCCCUGCAUGUCUUA
rnacentral:tRNA from 1 species